CAAGGAUUAGGUAAGUUCUUCCCGCGGUAGACUUCAAAUACUCUUUGUCCUGCCCCUGCUUGGCGAAAUUUACCGAAAUUAUCUACCUAUCCCGCUGGAGUGGGAGCCGGGGGAGAGCUGGAACCGCGUCUCUGCUGCUCACCUUUGUGUCCUUAGCUCCUUCGCAUGGGGUCCGACCGCAACACGUGCGCUGGAUAAACGCUUGUUAACUGGGUAAAAGUCUUGCAGUGAAAAACCCGAGGACCCUUACCGCAAGUGUCCUUUGCUCCCAGCUACUGAUACUGGAUUCCACUUGUGAUUCUCCCUUUCUUAGCGCAUUCAUGAUAUAGACAUCAGUCUCUGAGCUGGAGGAGGACAAAGGCAGCAGUCCUGUGAAUUCUAUGCUCUAGCUUGGGUUAAGGGAUUUGGAAUUGCACUUGUUCCAGAGAGCUCCCUCUUUGCCCACUAGCAGGGCAUUAGCUGGUGCUGAAGACAGUGGCUGCUUGGCGAGCCUGGAUCUCCAAGUGACUCCAAGUGACCCCCUCAGCAACUCCUGAUGAACAGGACUGAAGCCAAUAUUAAAGCAAGUCAACCAAAGAUUCUCUGGUGUAGACAAGACAGCAAAAGGACAGACUACCUUGUGGAACCUAGCAUUGUUCUCCUUCUGCAGCACUAAGUAACAUUUGUGCUCCGUUAAGAUCUUUGCAAACCACACACAAGAAUUGCUGGUCAUCCUGCCAAUAGAUGCUGCUCACAGAACCAAAUUUCCUGUGCUGAAUUGUCACUCAUGGGCUUGAGAGUAGGAGACUGGAGACCAAGGUGGCUAGAAUCCAGUUGGGCCUGAUGUCUCCC
rnacentral:antisense_RNA from 1 species